CAGCAGUCGCCGCGGGAAUACGAAGGGUGCAAGCGUUAAUCGGAAUUACUGGGCGUAAAGCGCGCGUAGGCGGUUUGUUAAGUCUGCUGUGAAAUCCCCGGGCUCAACCUGGGAAUGGCAGUGGAUACUGGCAAGCUAGAGUGUGUCAGAGGAUGGUGGAAUUCCCGGUGUAGCGGUGAAAUGCGUAGAGAUCGGGAGGAACAUCAGUGGCGAAGGCGGCCAUCUGGGACAACACUGACGCUGAAGCACGAAAGCGUGGGGAGCAAACCGGAUUAGAUACCCCAGUAGUCCCUGUCUCUUAUAC
rnacentral:rRNA from 1 species